rnacentral:tRNA from 1 species
GCGCCCAUAGCUCAGCAGGAUAGAGCGUCGGUUUCCUAAACCGCAGGUCGGGGGUUCGAAUCCCUCUGGGCGCACCA